CCCACACCCAUGUGCGUAGGACCUCAAAGGAUCACCAUUAAAUUUGGCAUAGAUCUCUAGAAAAAUUAUUACAUGGGUGUGGGACUUGACUUUUCUAGAGAUCUGUGUCAAAUUUAAUGGUGAUCCUUCGGGGUCCUACACACAUGGGUGUGGA
rfam:Amborella trichopoda AMTR_V1.0_contig_30553, whole genome shotgun sequence.